rnacentral:rRNA from 1 species
UACGUAGGGUGCGAGCGUUAAUCGGAAUUACUGGGCGUAAAGCGUGCGCAGGCGGCUUUGCAAGACAGAUGUGAAAUCCCCGGGCUCAACCUGGGAAUUGCAUUGGAGACUGCAAGGCUUGAAUCUGGCAGAGGGGGGUAGAAUUCCACGUGUAGCAGUGAAAUGCGUAGAGAUGUGGAGGAACACCAAUGGCGAAGGCAGCCCCCUGGGUCGAUACUGACGCUCAUGCACGAAAGCGUGGGUAGCAAACAGGAUUAGAAACCCGUGUAGU